UUGAAGUCUAACUUCUUGAGUUUUUUUCUAUAUUUUAGAUAUUAGACGUCUAUCAGAUGUAAGUUGCGGUCCGUUGCUGUUUCCAAGGACUCAGGCCGAUGGAUGGAUACAAAUGCUGGUGAGGCAAGACCAAGAUGAAGCAAGAGUCUUGCUGAAGCAAGGCAUGUGGAGGAGAGCUGGAAGUCACUUAUAGCCUGUGCACAGGGGGAACGCUUAUCACAAACAAUGCCGAUUGCAAAAUGGAAAAAUCUAAAACAAAAGCACAUGUUCAAGUCUCCCAGAUAUAUACAUAUAGCAGAAAAAUGAACAAAACCGUAUUAUUGGGUGAAGGAGAAAGACUGAAAUCCCUGAGAGCCAACAGAAAUAACGGAAACAUGCAGCCU